UACGUAGGGUGCAAGCGUUAUCCGGAAUCAUUGGGCGUAAAGAGUUCGUAGGCGGUUUGGUAAGUUUGCGGUUAAAUACGGUCGCUCAACGAUCGAAUUGUCGCGAAAACUCCCAAACUUGAGAAUGACAGAGGCAACUAGAAUUCCACAUGUAGGGGUAAAAUCCGUUGAUAUGUGGAGGAAUACCAAAAGCGAAGGCAAGUUGCUGGGUCAUUUCUGACGCUGAGGAACGAAAGCGUGGGGAGCAAACAGG
rnacentral:rRNA from 1 species